rnacentral:rRNA from 1 species
GACGAACGCUGGCGGCGUGCUUAACACAUGCAAGUCGAGCGGUAAGGCCCUUUCGGGGGUACGACGAGCGGCGAACGGGUGAGUAACACGUGGGUGACCUGCCCUUACGCUCUGGGAUAAGCCUGGGAAACGUGGGUCUAAUACCGGAUAUGACUCCAUAACGCAUGUUGUGGGGUGGAAAGCCUUGUGCGGCUAGGGAUGGGCCCGCGGCCUAUCAGCUUGUU